UCUUUAUCUAUGUUCUUUUUACCCAUUUUUUGUGCUAAGUAAAUAUUUUUAGCAUACUAUUUUAAUUCCUCAGUUUUUACUACUUUUUUUCAGAAAAAGAUUUAUUAUUUGAAAGGCAGAGUUACACAGAGAUCUUCCAUCUGCUGGUAGGCAGAGAGGAGGAUGACCCACUGCAUAACAGCCUCUUCUCCGCAAAUAGUCGGCAGCACCUAAGCCAGUCUGGAAAGAAUUCGCUCAGUCUCUUAGGAAAUACACUACUGCAGUCCCAAGAGCAGUGCCCGGGACCCCAUCAGCCUCCCACUAAGCCCCGCCCCUUAAAGGUCACCUCAGCUGUCAGAACCGGGACAAUGGGGACCAAGCUUGCAACACUUGCAAGGGGAAAACCACAUGCAAGCCACAGCAAGAGCCUGUUACAUCACCCCCCACAUAUUGACCAUCUCCAGUGCCUUUCAGUUCUUCCUGACAUCGGAAUUACUAUUUGAUGUCAUAAGGGACGUGAGGACAAGACCGAGUGCCGCUGUGCGUGGGCACCACCGCUAGGCCAACCCCAGCAGCUCAGCUUCUCGCACCGCGGGCUGUCCUGCCGCAGCAGCGCUUCCACACCCGCAGGCUGCAGGAAGCAGGGGAAACCCCAAGGAAGGACGCCUCGGCCUCCAGGCCUCCGCUGCUCCUCCCCAGAAUUCGGCAGGUUCAAGCUGCCGUGCGUCUCAGACUGUCUCGUGCCUUUGGUUGAUUCCAAAGCACGGAACAGAUCGCUCUCACCCACUUUGUCCGGCUUUGCAGUCACUUUCUCGGGGAGAGGACUCACUGGCCUUUUUCCUGGGCUGCAGCCAAAGCCUGCUUGCACCCUAGGUGCUUCUGACGUGGCAGAUCUGGGGGGCAGCUGGAUGAGAGGCUGCAGGGAGUUCCCGGGGAAUGCCAGCACCACUGGUCCAGAACUGCCUGUCAGAAACCAUUGCUUCAUAGAACUCAGCUUCUUUUAGGUAUUGAAGCAAACCGGUCAGACAGGGAUUCACUGUGAGGACAUGUAAAACUUUAUCUUAAUAAAUUAUCUAAUAGGGAAGUUCAGAGAUUUCUUUAUGGGAGAUUUUUUUUUUAAUUUUGUUUAGUUUGAGAAGGAAGGGAGAGAGAGAAAAAGAGAGAGAGAGACAGGGAGAGAUCUCCCAUCCGCUGGUUCAUUCUCCAAAUAACUGCAAUGGGACAGCUGAAGCCAGGAACUCCAUCCAAGUUUCCCACAUAGGUAGUAGGGACCCAAUCACUUGAACCAUCACCUGCCACCUGUCAGAGUCUGCGUUAAAAGGAAGCUGUAGGGGUCAGCGUUGUGGCAUAAUGGGUAAAGCUGGUGCCUGCAAUCCCAGCCUCCCAUGUGGGCACCAGUUCAUGUCCCCACUGUUCCAAUCCAGCUCCCUGCUAAUGCACCUGGUUAAGCAGCCAAAGAUGGUCCAAGUGCUUGGGCCCCUGUACCCACGUGGGAAGCCAGUAGGGCUCCUUGCUCCUGGCUCUGGCCUGGCCCAGCCCCUGCCAUUGUGGCCAUUUGGGGAGAGAACCAGCAGAUGGAAGAUCUAUCUCUGUCUCAGUCUCCUUACUCUGUAGCUCUGACUUUCAAAUAAAUAAAUAGAUCUUUUAAAGAAGAAAGAAAGAGAGGGAGGGAGGGAGGAAGGGAGGAGCCUAAUAUUGUAAAUGUUAGGUUCAAGCAAGUCCUUUCCAGGGAGACUGUGUUCAGCCCCAGGCUGAGGGUCCUUAAUGCAGGUGACCCAAAACCACACAGGUGGGCGAAUUUAUCUCUGUCCACAGUGUCAGCCUAACUGACACAACAAACAACAACCGGAGGAGAGACACAGACUCUCCAAGGAACUCUCGUAUUCACUUGGGAGUAGCAGAGCAUUGCAGUGGGAAUGCGUGCGCAGCAGUGAGCCGCGGGCGUAAUCAGCGGCUGGGCGCGGGGAAGUUGUUGAAGGCAAAAGGAGGAAGUGGUUGCAUCAGGAGCUGUGUAGCAAUAAUCUCUGGCUGCAGUGAUUGAGAGCCAGGUGACGCGCGUCUCAGGUUGAACGGCAGCGGCUGGCUCGGCGACCUUGCAGAAAGUGCUUUUUGCCCGCUGCUCUGGUGACCUCUACACAAGGUCGUGGCUCCGGCAGCGUCUUGUGUGAGCGUUGCUGUGUGCAUGGGAACCCUCCCAGAACCUUGAUUCGUCUAUUUUGGAUGAGGUUGACCCAGGCGACUCCAGUGUGAUUCUGACAGCUUCCAUAUUCCUUUCGCAAGAGGGAGUCUCAGCCACACCAAUGUCUCAAAGUGGUCCCGUCACAAAUGCUGGAAUCUUGGCCGGCGCUGUGGCUCAACAGGCUAAUCCUCCGCCUUGCGGCACUGGCACACCAGGUUCUAGUCCCGGUCGGGGCGCCGGAUUCUGUCCCGGUUGCCCCUCUUCCAGGCCAGCUCUCUGCUGUGGCCCGGGAGUGCAGUGGAGGAUGGCUCAAGUGCUUGGGCCCUGCACCCCAUGGGAGACCAGGAGAAGCACCUGGCUCCUGCCUUCAGAUCAGUGCGAUGCGCCGGCCGCAGCGCGCCAGCCCCGGUGGCCAUUGGAGGGUGAACCAACCGCAAAAGGAGGACUUUCUCUCUGUCUCUCUCUCUCUUACUGGAAUCCUCCAAGCUCUGCCGCUCUCCUCCAGAACCACCACCCUCAGGUUGCGGGGAUGCCGGUCCAUCCAGCAGGUGAUUAUGGGUCUCCGCCCCUUCCCAUUGUCCUGCUCUGGGAUGGGCACGGGCGUGUGUUGGCGGAGGGCAGGCAGCAGCGAGAAGUGGCACCCGCUUAUCCAUGCUGUGUCAUCAGCAUCCUUAUUGGUUUCUGCUGCGGAGACCGGGGCCGGUCUGGUUCUGGAUGGUGACAUCUGCAGUGAGACUCAUCCCUUCCACUGCCCUCUGUGUCUGACCAUCUGCCAUUUGCUUCUUCUGAGUCCCCGCCUUUCCCUGCCCCACCCGGCAACCUGGAGCCCACAGGCGCUAGGCACAUGACAGUUAGGGCUCCUGGGACUUCCCUAUCCCGACACCUCCCUCUGCAUGCAACUGCUCAGCCCCCAGCUGCCGUAUCAAAAUGUCUCCACCUGGGCAGCUCCAGGCUCUGCCCCUCCUCCACCCACUAGUGCUCCUGAGGUCCUAGAACAUUCCAUUGCUAUCAGUGUGUUUCUAACUCACACCUUUGGAACUCCAGACUGGGGAAGGGAGGCUGCGUGUGGCCCAAGCAGCAUGCUAGCUCUGCAGCUCUCUCCUUCUCCUCUCUGUCCACCGGGGACGAUCUCACACCUCAGCUACAUAGAAAGACACAGAGGGCUGGGAGCGCCCAGUGACUCAGCCCGUGCCCUGAGUUUCUGACUCAGCAGAUCUGGGGUUUGUGACUUUCAAACAAGUCCCUAGCAGACGCUGGCACUUUGUUCAGCCUCCUCCCUGAUUCGUGCUAGUCCUGAUUUAUAAACUUGAUCAUCUUUUUGUGAGACUUGAUGCUUUGUUUGUGCAGGGUACUAAAAGCACUGAGAAAAUCUUCUUUCAACACAAAGGUUUCUUUUUUUUUAAAGAUUUAUUUAUUUAUUUGGAAGUCAGAGUUAUACACAGAGAGAAGGAGAGAGGUCUUCCAUCCGAUGGUUCACUCCCCAAAUGGCUGCAGCGGCCGGAGUUGCACUGAUUCGAAGCCAGGAGCCAGCAGCCUCUUCCCAGUCUCCCACACUGGUGCAGGGGCCCAAGGACUUGGGCCAUCCUCUAUGUUUUCCCAGGCUGUAGCAGAAGCCUGGAUCAGAAGUGGAGCAGCCUGGAUGCGAACCAUCACCCAUAUGGGAUGCCAGCACUGCAGGCAGCGGCUUUACCCGCUAUGCCACAGCGCCGGCCCCAACACAAAGGUUUCAAAACCAUUGUCUUCUAAGGAAGGGUGACUAAUUUAUGGCCUAGACUGGGACACUUUUGAGGGAAAGAUGCCACUAAUAAUACUGCAAGGCCACAAGUGUGAGGGGCAGGCAUUUGGCAGAGACAUUAAGACACUGCAUGGGAGCCAGGCACUGUGGCUUAGUGGGUUGAGCCCCCACCUGCAGGGCUGGCAUCCCUUAUGGGCACCGGUUCAAUUUCCAGCUACUUCUAAUCUAUCUCCCUGCUAAUGGUCUGGGAAAGCAAUGGAGGAUGGCCCAAAUCUUUGGGCCGCUGCACCCAUGUGGGAGACCCUGCUUUAGCCUGGCCCAGCACUGGCCAUUUGUGGCCAUUUGGAGAGUAAACCAGUGGUUGGAAGAUCUCCCCCCGCCCCCCCCAUAACUCAGCCUUUCAAAUAAAUUAAAAAAAAAAAAAAGAUACUACUUAGGAUGCCCACAUCCCAUUCUGGAGAGCCUGGUUUGAGUUCAGCUCUGCUUCUGAUCCAACUUCCAGCUAAUGAGUACCCUAGGAAGCCACAGAAGGUGGUUCCAGUACUUGGAUCCCUGCCACCAACAUGAAGUCCUAGACUGAGUUCCUAGUUCCUGGCUUUUGCCUGGCCCAACUCUCAAUAUUGUAAGCAUCUGGGGAGUGAACCAGCUGAUGAAAGACCUCUGCCUUUCAAAUAAAAUGAAUGAAUGAAUGAAUAAAUAAAUAUUAAAAAACAGAAGACCGUAAGUAUGGAUGAGAUUAUCUCAGGCAAACCAGGAUAUCUGAUGGCCCCAUGCUAAGGCCUCAAGAAAAUCAUCUUUGAAACUCAAAGCAAUUACUGAUUUAAGAUGACCAGCCUUGCCUGGCCUUGGACAAGACCCGUAGCUCAAACUUAUGGUGUGCCAGGAAAUUGAGUUAAGAGGGAAAAAAACUACAGCAGCUUAAUAUUUUCAAAAUACCAUCCCUCGGGGCCAGUGCUGUGGUAUAGCAGGUAAAGCCACCGCCUGUAGCGCUGGCAUCCCAUGUGGGCACCAAUGUGAGUCCCAACUGUUCCUCUUCUGAUCCAGCUCUCUGCUGUGGCCUGGGAAAGCAGCAGAAGAUGGCCCAAGUCCUUGGGCCCCUCACCCAUGUGGGAGACCCAGAGGAAGUUUCUGGCUCCUGGCUUCGGAUCGGCCCAGCUCUGUCUGCCUCUGCUUCUCUGUAACUCUGUCUUUCAAAUAAAUAAAUAAAUAUUUUAAAAAAAUCAUCCCUCUCAUGUCUGCAUGUACCUCAAAAAAAAAAAAAAAAACCCAUGGAAAAUGAAAUUAAAGGAUAUUUAUUUCAAUAACAAAAAUUUUGAAAUCAAUGCAUAGUUUCUUUCUCACAUGCAUUUUAAUUAACUUUUUGAAGGUGGCUCUAUGCAUAGAUUCCAAUUUUUUUUACCCAAAUCUGUCUUUUAAUUCCAUUCUCUGCACAUUUUCUGAAGGACCCCUAUGUAUUUGGAAUGAUCCACCUUUAACCCCAGAGACACUGAGCAGCUGAAAACCCUUAAAGCAGUUUGCCUUUUGCUCCGGGCACCAGCCCCUACCAGCUCGCUCACCACUCCCAGAUGUCCUUAGUUAUUCCUGGGCACACUCAAAGUGACAGCUCACGUGUGCCCACAGACCACAGUGCCAGCUGCAGCCACAGGUGGUGUCCAUCUUGUUCUUCCUCUUCUGCUCUGGCUUCUUGUUCCCACCCGUGAUUCAAGGGCCAGGUGGGGAAGUUUCACCACGACCACUGUCCAUCAUAAGGACACCCAGUCCCACCCGAGGGUGCUGUCUGCAGGUACUCCCUGGUUCUCACAGCUGGGGUCUCUGCCAGGCAAGGGGGAAGGCCUCCCCCCAGCCCCUGCCACACUGGCUGAGGCAUUUUGAGAUGGGAUUUCCUCACUUGCUUCUUAAAGCAGCUUAACUGGUAUGCAACGUAAGGGGGCCACGCCAUCCUGUCUCUGUUCCUGGAUACGUUACCUAGAUACACUGAAGAAGAAACCCCGAAAACGUUCAGGGCAGUAGAUGAAGAUACCCACGGCAAGGUCAGGGCAGUACUGGCAGCAGGACACCUUCCGGUGCCAAUGCUGUGUGUACUGGAAUAAGAAACUACUGGUUUGGACCCAGGUCACUGUUCUUGCUUUCCCAGAGAGGUCAGGUAUCUCACACGGCACUGGUAACGGCACCUGCGGCUCUCACCGCCAUAUGCUCUCCUUUCCCUUGGCCCACCGCUAUGUCAUUGUGAACACACGAACACCUGCUCUCAGGUCAGGCAGGUAUCAUUGUUUCCAUUUCUAAACAGAUUUUUAAUUAUAGACUCAGGCAGGUGAUCACCACCUGGAAAUGGCAAAACCCAUCCUUGAACUCAGGUCUUCCGAAUUUAAGACCAGCACUGUUUCAACCAUACCAGGGAAUUGUGGAGUCUAAAAUGACGCCUAGGAGCUGGCAUUGUGGCAUAGCAGGUGAGGUUGCUGCCUGCAGCAAUGUCAGCAUCCCAUAUGGGUGUCAGUUUGUGUCCCAGCUGCUCCACUUUUGGUUCAGUUCCCUCCUGGUGGCCUGGGAAAGGCAGCAGAGGAUGGCCUGGGUGCUUGGUCCCCUGCCAACAUGUGGGAGACCUGAGGAAGCUCCUGGCUCCUUGCUUCAGCUUGGUUCCAUCCUGGGGUGUAGACCAGGGGAUGGAAGACCUCUCUCUGUCUCUCCUUCUCUCUCUGUGGCUCUGACUUUCAAAUAAAUAAAUACAUCUUU